UACGAAGGGGGCUAGCGUUGCUCGGAAUCACUGGGCGUAAAGGGUGCGUAGGCGGGUCUUUAAGUCAGGGGUGAAAUCCUGGAGCUCAACUCCAGAACUGCCUUUGAUACUGGCGACCUUGAGUCCGGGAGAGGUGAGUGGAACUGCGAGUGUAGAGGUGAAAUUCGUAGAUAUUCGCAAGAACACCAGUGGCGAAGGCGGCUCACUGGCCCGGUACUGACGCUGAGGUGCGAAAGCGUGGGGGAGCAAACAGG
rnacentral:rRNA from 1 species